rnacentral:rRNA from 1 species
UACAGAGGUCUCAAGCGUUGUUCGGAUUCAUUGGGCGUAAAGGGUGCGUAGGCGGCGCGGUAAGUCGGGUGUGAAAUCUCGGAGCUUAACUCCGAAACUGCAUUCGAUACUGCCGUGCUUGAGGACUGGAGAGGAGACUGGAAUUCACGGUGUAGCAGUGAAAUGCGUAGAUAUCGUGAGGAAGACCAGUGGCGAAGGCGGAUCUCUGGACAGCUCCUGACGCUGAGGCGCGAAGGCUAGGGGAGCAAACGGG